CGGGUGAGUAACGCGUGGGCAACCUGCCUUGCACUGGGGGAUAACAGCCAGAAAUGGCUGCUAAUACCGCAUAAGACCGAAGCGCCGCAUGGCGCGGCGGCCAAAGCCCCGGCGGUGCAAGAUGGGCCCGCGUCUGAUUAGGUAGUUGGCGGGGUAACGGCCCACCAAGCCGACGAUCAGUAGCCGACCUGAGAGGGUGACCGGCCACAUUGGGACUGAGACACGGCCCAG
rnacentral:rRNA from 1 species